GACGAACGCUGGCGGCGUGCUUAACACAUGCAAGUCGAACGGAAAGGCCCUGCUUUUGUGGGGUGCUCGAGUGGCGAAAGGGUGAGUAACACGUGAGUAACCUGCCCUUGACUUUGGGAUAACUUCAGGAAACUGGGGCUAAUACCGGAUAGGAGCUCCUGCUGCAUGGUGGGGGUUGGAAAGUUUCGGCGGUUGGGGAUGGACUCGCGGCUUAUCAGCUUGUUGGUGGGGUAGUGGCUUACCAAGGCUUUGACGGGUAGCCGGCCUGAGAGGGUGACCGGCCACAUUGGGACUGAGAUACGGCCCAGACUCCUACGGGAGGCAGCAGUGGGGAAUAUUGCAAAAUGGGCGGAAGCCUGAUGCAGCAACGCCGCGUGCGGGAUGACGGCCUUCGGGUUGUAAACCGCUUUCGCCUGUGACGAAGCGUGAGUGACGGUAAUGGGUAAAGAAGCACCGGCUAACUACGAG
rnacentral:rRNA from 1 species